UACCCAUAUUUCACGAAGUUGGCUGUUCUGGAGUGACCGUACAGGUCCACCUCACUGGCCGGUACCUGAGGGAGAUGUGGGACGACACAGAAUUACCUACUGAUGAUGAUAGCCGUGAUGACCGCUCUGACGUCACUAUAAACCUGUCUGAGGAGGAUCCUGUGUCCAGGCUGGAGGACUGACGUCAUCAGCUGCCCGGUCCGUGACGACAGAGAGAGUGUGUGGAGGGGGCGGGGCCGGGAGGGUCGGAAGGGGCGUGGCCCCAUCAGGCCAGCCUCCAGCACAGACAGACACGCCCUGGCCUACACAUUGUACAUGGGACAAGACAGAACCCCGUCAUCAGAUACAAGUCGUGUGUCGACGUCAACAGCGAGGUAACCCAACCCCCUCAGACCUGUUUAUCAAUUCACAGCUUCAAUGUGCGCAUUUCUCGCUGUCCUGUCGCCUUGCUUUCGUUUUUCAUACAUGUAUUUACUCUUAUCCUGAUUUGCACUUGUUUCCGUUGCAGAAAAAAAGAAUAUGUUUAUCAUGGUA